UACGUAGGUGGCGAGCGUUGUCCGGAUUUAUUGGGCGUAAAGAGCUCGUAGGCGGUCUGUCGCGUCGGAUGUGAAAAUCCAGGGCUCAACCCUGGACCUGCAUUCGAUACGGGCAGACUAGAGUUCGGUAGGGGAGACUGGAAUUCCUGGUGUAGCGGUGAAAUGCGCAGAUAUCAGGAGGAACACCGGUGGCGAAGGCGGGUCUCUGGGCCGAAACUGACGCUGAGGAGCGAAAGCGUGGGGAGCAAACAGG
rnacentral:rRNA from 1 species